UGACAAAUGUCACAUCUCAAUUGCCAAAGUUUGUUUUAAAGGAUUUGAUGUUAUAUUAUCAUGGACCAAGAAUAGAAUUUGGACCUGCUCAUCGAUGGCUUUGGGUUUCCUUCCGUCUUGACCGCAAGGCUGACGUGACGGGGAAGACACAAGGAGACAUGGUCUGUUUGUAUAUCAACAAACAAUACUGCAGCUCUAUGACUAUCAGGGAUCAAAUCUGCACGCCUGAUGUUGAACUUUUGUCGCGGUCGCCGCGCCCCUUUCAUCCGCCACCUAACUGUGGAGGGGGCAUGGCCUGUGGACCUGCAGCGAAGCGGGGUGUGCCAGGACCGGCCUUGAAAUCAGCGACAGCAGCCAGGAGGAGAGACGAGGUUGAGGGUGGAGCCAGAGUGCGAGCGAGAACAAAAGAGAAAAAGACAAUUGCUGGAAAGCAACUGACAGACUUAUUGAAAAAUAAAACAAUAUUGUAACCCUGAAACAGGCUCUCAUGUCGGUGCUUGGUGGUCUGAAGAACCUCCAGGAGGGCAAGCCACACACUAACCAAUAACAAAUAAAUAACUUCUUACCAUUAACGCAACUUCUUGAACAAUUGUGGUAGAAAACGGAUGGAUGGAUUAAAAAAGCACGAGAUUGUUUUAUAUUUUGAACAUUAUUUUUAAUACUGUGAUUACAAGUAGAAUUAUUCAUUACUUAUCGUGUCAAGCAAUGUCAGCUCAGAUUUACCACACUGCAAAAACAGAAAAACUAAGUAAGAAUAAAUA